UACAGAGGGUGCGAGCGUUGUCCGGAAUCACUGGGCGUAAAGGGCGCGUAGGUGGCGACCCAAGUCCAUGGUGAAAGCUCGAUGCUCAACAUCGAGUCGGCCACGGAUACUGGGUUGCUGGAGCACUGUAGAGGCAGAUGGAAUUCCGGGUGUAGCGGUGGAAUGCGUAGGGAUCCGGAAGAACACCGGUGGCGAAGGCGGUCUGCUGGGCAGUUGCUGACACUGAGGCGCGACAGCGUGGGGAGCAAACAGG
rnacentral:rRNA from 1 species